rnacentral:rRNA from 1 species
UACGAAGGGGGCUAGCGUUGCUCGGAAUCACUGGGCGUAAAGCGCACGUAGGCGGACUCUUAAGUCGGUGGUGAAAUCCUGGAGCUCAACUCCAGAACUGCCUUCGAUACUGGCGAUCUUGAGUCCGGGGAGAGGUGAGUGGAACUGCGAGUGUAGAGGUGAAAUUCGUAGAUAUUCGCAAGAACACCAGUGGCGAAGGCGGCUCACUGGCCCGGUACUGACGCUGAGGUGCGAAAGCGUGGGGAGCAAACAGG